AAGGGAUUCACGUCAGCUGAGAAGUCCAGGAGGGCCGGGACGCCCUGCAGUGACCAGCCUACGUGAAGGGUCACCAGAGAAGCCCCAAUGCUUUAUCACUGCGUGUCUGGUGAAUUGUGCAUGAAUGGAUGAACGGGACCCAGAUGUUGGGAAGAAGAUGAUGCCCCAAGUGCCCAUCCUGACGAAGGCCUGGUAGUCACAGCAACUGAGUGGAGUGCUGGACACAUCACACCAUCCUUAGACUAAUGAUCUGAAAAGCAGGCCAGGUGGGCACACGAAUGACCAGUGUGGAAGGAAAAUUAUAAGGCCUUCAUGUAAUUCAGCUUUGAUUGGAGAACAUAAUGAUAAACGGAAGUGAAUGUUGCCUCCCUAGAUCAGUUGCUGUUGAUGAGGAAGCUUGAAAGAAUGGUACUCUUUUUGCACACGUCAUUUGGGAAGACAUGUCCUGGGCAAGACACUACAGAUUGUUUGCAAGGAAGGGAAGGGUUUGCAAAUAGUCACAUCUGUUUCCAUAAAGAUUAAGUUUGUAUUCUUUCUAGAUCGUCUCAUUAUAAAGUUGAUCUGCCAAAGGCUAUCAAGAAAGAUACAGAGUUGAAAAUAAAAUUGCUUGAUAUUGUAAUAGAAAGUUCCAAGGACUUUUGAGACUAAAUGACUUAUUAGGAGAUUCUGUUGUUAGAAUAUUUGUUUAUAAAACUUGUUUUUAACUUAAGAUUUUCAGUUAUUUUCGAUGUAGGACUUGAGUUUACCCACAAGCUUUAAGUCACUAUGAUGUAACUAAUUCGGUUCUCACUUAAUUCAAUGUAUGUAAAAAGCUUUGUAGUUACUGUUCAAACUAAAGUACUUGCCAAAGUAAUAUAUCAUAUCCUCCUUGUAAAAUACAUUCACAAUCAAAAAAAAGGACUAUAAGUGAUUUCCCUUAAAA